UGAGGGACCUGACAGUGGUUACUCAUUUAACAUUUAACCUUCCUCUAGAGGCCAGCCAACAAGAUUCAAACUGGGCAAAAUAAAGCAGCCAUGGUCCCUGCCUUCAAGGAAAGCCGGUUUACAGCAGGUGCUGUUCCAGGUGCCAGAGACACUGUGCUGAGCAAAAGAGACUGAUGAUUGCAAGGGGGUCCUACCUGGACACGCGCAUAUUCCCAGGGCACCAGCCGUCGCACCAUAAAUGAAUGAGUCCCCAGAGCUUCAUAAUGGACUGCGACCAGAGGAACGAGAGUGGGGGAGUCUGGAAUCAUGAUCAGAACCACAAGAGCCAAUCUGGCCAUGACAUUGGUUAUGGAGAGGUGGACGUUGGCACGGAACAAGACUAUACUUCGGGCUCCAGAUUUGCCUGCAAGAAGAGGUUCCCCCGCCCCCCUGGGCAGCUGAGCAAACACCCUGUCCCUUGCUGGCCCAAGUGCCAGGCAUGGCUGGGACAGGGCUCUCCCUCUGCCUGAGCAUCUGCCUCCACUUCCCUCCCAGAAACUGGACUGCAGCCAGCCAGCAGCUUAGAUGACAUUGACAUCUACUUUGCUGACAGUCUGUGUCUCCAGCUCCCAGUCAAGCUCCUCUCAGCAGAAGAGAGGUCUCUUUCCUACCCACUGCCAACUCUUCCCUGCACCUCAGAAGUUAACUCUAGAAAAGAAUCCAUGUUGGAACACAGUAUUGCAAGGAGCAAGUUGUCAGCAAUGCCCAGAGGCCAGCCUUGCCUUACGCUUGUAACUGGUCUGAUGAUG